UCUACGGGCGGCAGCAGUGGGGAAUAUUGGGCAAUGGAGGCAACUCUUACCCAGCAAUGCCGCGUGAAUGAAGAAGGUCUUCGGAUUGUAAAGUUCUUUAAUUGGGGACGAAAAAAAUGACGGUACCCAAGGAAUAAGCCACGGCUAACUACGUGCCAGCAGCCGCGGUAAUACGUAGGGGGCAAGCGUUGUUCGGAAUGACUGGGCGUAAAGGGUGUGUAGGCGGUGUAGCAAGUUAGAAGUGAAAUACCUAGAGCUUAACUCAGGUGCUGCUUCUAAAACUGCUAUACUUGAGUGCAGUAGAGGAAAGUGGAAUUCCUAGUGUAGCGGUGGAAUGCGUAGAUAUCACGAAGAACUCCGAUUGCGAAGGCAGCCUACUAAACUGCCACUGACAUUGAUGCUCGAAAGUGUGGGUAUCAAACAGGAUUAGAUACCCGGGUAGUC
rnacentral:rRNA from 1 species